UGGCUCAGGAUGAACGCUGGCGGCGUGCCUAACACAUGCAAGUCGAGCGAGGGUUUGCUCAGUAUUGAGUAUUCUAAGUCUAGAAUGUUCAAUUCUGAGCAAAACCAAGCGGCGGACGGGUGAGUAACGCGUGGGUAACCUGCCCUAUACACAUGGAUAACAUACUGAAAAGUUUACUAAUACAUGAUAAUAUAUAUUUGCGGCAUCGCAGAUAUAUCAAAGUGUUAGCGGUAUAGGAUGGACCCGCGUCUGAUUAGCUAGUUGGUGAGGUAACGGCUCACCAAGGCGACGAUACAUAGCCGACCUGAGAGGGUGAUCGGCCACACUGGGACUGAGACACGGCCCAGACUCCUACGGGAGGCAGCAGUAGGGAAUCUUCGGCAAUGGACGGAAGUCUGACCGAGCAACGCCGCGUGAGUGAAGAAGGUUUUCGGAUCGUAAAGCUCUGUUGUAAGAGAAGAACGAGUGUGAGAGUGGAAAGUUCACACUGUGACGGUAUCUUACCAGAAAGGGACGGCUAACUACGUGCCAGCAGCCGCGGUAAUACGUAGGUCCCGAGCGUUGUCCGGAUUUAUUGGGCGUAAAGCGAGCGCAGGCGGUUAGAUAAGUCUGAAGUUAAAGGCUGUGGCUUAACCAUAGUACGCUUUGGAAACUGUUUAACUUGAGUGCAAGAGGGGAGAGUGGAAUUCCAUGUGGUAGCGGUGAAAUUGCGUAGAUAUAUGGAGGAACACCGGUGGCGAAGUCGGCUCUCUUGGCUUUGUAACU
rnacentral:rRNA from 1 species